CAGUGGCACUUUGUUAUUGUUCUAAAUUGAUACCCUCGAGAGUCCAUUCGUAGCUUGAUCAUUUUAUGUUCCUCCCUUAGUUAUUUCUUAAUGAUAAAAUAAUAUAUAUGUGCAAAUAUGUUAGAUUGGAAUUUCCAUGCAUUAUUAUACUGUAAAGGGUUUGUUCCCAUUAUUCAUUCAUAAAAUAUGGCUAUGGUUGACAAUAACAGUAAUCUUGCUGUAUUAUUCCGAUGUUUAAGGUUUUUCAUUUGCUAUUGUGCUCUGUCUGGAACAAUAUUACAGUCUUUAUCUGCUUUGGUGAAGUUCCUAAUGUUGUUUUCUUAGGCUUUGUGGUAUUUAGACUUUUGGUAUACAUUUUUGGUAUGAAAAUGCAAUUUGAGCAUUGUAUUGCCUUUAAUGAUGUAAGAACCUGCUCCUCGGCCUCUUUUCUUCAUACAGUGACCACAUUUACACAAGUAGUUGGAGCCUAGUUUCUAGUAGACGUCUCUUAUCUAAGUCUAUCGCUGUCAUCAUUUAUAGCUAUGUUGUGACAAUAUGCUACUAUGGAUGACUCUGUGGAUAGAAAUGGAUAGUUGAUACCAAAAUAUGUGGCCCUUUUAGUAUCUUGGUGGAGAAUUAUUCAAAACCAAAGGCACCUUGCUACAGGGAUAUAUAUAUAUAUAUAUAUAUAACAAAAUACUGUUAGAAAAGGUGGAGGUGGCUAAUCCAAUGAGAAGCCUCUUUUUUCAUGUGAGAUUCUUGGCAACUUCAAAUGAGCAUCUUGUUGACUUCAUGUAGUAUAUGCCUAAUCAAUCUUAUAUAUAGUCUCAAACAGUUAGCUGAAACAAGAACACAUUUCUCAUGAAAUGCACUAACUAAAUUUAUGUUGAACUACAGUAAGAAAAACUGUCUCUCUGACAUAGCUCCUAAAUUUGAUAUGCUUGCUUUGUUUCUUCCUUGUGCUUUCGUGGGCAACAAGACAUGCAGAGAUGGAAGCUCUUGAUGUUCUUCUUGACAGUGGCACUGGAUUUUUGGCUAUGGAAGUAUAGAGAAGCUUUCAGCAUCCUCCUUCAUGUGACAUGUGAACCAUAAUUUGUGUUACAGCUUUAUCAAUUAUAUGUACAUCUAUUGAUCAUACUGAAGCAAAACUAACCUCUCCUAGAAUCUGUUUAUUCCUAUGAUUAGAUGACUCUUAAUCCUUUGUUAGGCAUAAAGAAAGUAUGUCAUGGCUGUGCAAAUGAUAAAUAUGGAGGCGGUGCUCAACACUACCGUUGCAUUCAAGUAGCCCCAAGGCAUGGAUAUGAAAAGGAUGCUGAUGCAUCUACGGUCUGGAGCGACGGUUCAAGAUGGCCAAAAGUGAUGACUAACAUACCAGUGCCGUGAGACCGAUGAGACUUUGCCAUUACUUGCAACAAAAGGACAACCGAGUAUAACCUUAUUGCCGCAUCGAGCAAUGUUCAGAGAUAAACUGAAUUCAACGAUUCCCAUUUUGUAGCUUUGUGCAUCUUAGCCUUGAUUGCCAUCUUCUCCAAAGCACGUGAAUUACGAAGAAGAAACUGCACUAGAGGAAGCCACUGUUUCAGCUCCAAACACAUGUAACACUAAAACCAACAAUCUCUGCACUCCCCAGAUGCUUCGUUAAAUACUCAAAUUCCUUGUUUCGUGACACAAUACAAUUCCUUUUUAUCAUA